rnacentral:tRNA from 1 species
GGGGACGUAGCUCAGCGGCUGAGAGCACUCGCUUGUCAGGCGAGCACGCGCCGGUUCGAGUCCGGUCGUCCUUA